ensembl:lncRNA SERHL serine hydrolase like (pseudogene)
GGAACAGCCUAGAAGCAGGGCCUGGAACUGCAGGAUACACUCCCCUCCUGCUACCUAGGCAGGCGUGAGGGUGUGACGGCCGCGCAUUCGCCAGACGAGAGCGAUGGCUGAGAACGCCGCACCAGGUCUGAUCUCAGAGCUGAAGCUGGCUGUGCCCUGGGGCCACAUCGCAGCCAAAGCCUGGGGCUCCCUGCAGGGCCCUCCAGUUCUCUGCCUGCACGGCUGGCUGGACAAUGCCAGCUCCUUCGACAGACUCAUCCCUCUUCUCCCGCAAGACUUUUAUUACGUUGCCAUGGAUUUCGGAGGUCAUGGGCUCUCGUCCCAUUACAGCCCAGGUGUCCCAUAUUACCUCCAGACUUUUGUGAGUGAGAUCCGAAGAGUUGUGGCAGCCUUGAAAUGGAAUCGAUUCUCCAUUCUGGGCCACAGCUUCGGUGGCGUCGUGGGCGGAAUGUUUUUCUGUACCUUCCCCGAGAUGGUGGAUAAACUUAUCUUGCUGGACACGCCGCUCUUUCUCCUGGAAUCAGAUGAAAUGGAGAACUUGCUGACCUACAAGCGGAGAGCCAUAGAGCACGUGCUGCAGGUAGAGGCCUCCCAGGAGCCCUCGCACGUGUUCAGCCUGAAGCAGCUGCUGCAGAGGCAGAGAACAGCAUUGACUUCGUCAGCAGGGAGCUGUGUGCGCAUUCCAUCAGGAAGCUGCAGGCCCAUGUCCUGUUGAUCAAAGCAGUCCACGGAUAUUUUGAUCCAAGAGAGAAUUACUCUGACAAGGAGUCCCUGUCGUUCAUGAUAGACACAAUGAAAUCCACCCUCAAAGAGGUAAGGCGGGGCUCAGGCAGCUGGUGUCCAGCCACUGUCGCCCACUCUGGUCCCACCUCACCCAUCUCUUCUCAUGCACUGGGAAAGACCCCUGGUCUGCCCCCAGGCCCAACAAGUGACCACCAGGAUCUAUCAGGCCUCAUGCUCCAGUGAUCAGUCCCUAGAGGCCUGGGGACACAUGUAAUCAGAAUUUAAGAAACAGAGACCUUUGGUGGGGAGGUUCUUUACCAUCCUCAAGUACCCACCCCUCCUUCUUGGGGCCAGGCACAAUUAGGUGACCCAACUGCCAGAGACAGUCCCACAUUUUUUGAGAGACAGGGUCUCAUUCUGUUGCUCAGGCUCAGUCAUAGCUCACUGCAGCCUCAAACUCCUGGGCUCAAAUGAUCCUCCCACCUCAGCCACCUGAGUAGGUGGCACUACAGGCGCAUGCCAUCAUGCCCAGCUAAUAGUCACACUUUUUUUUUUUUUUUGAGAUGGAGUCUCACUCUGUCGCUCAGGCUGGAGUGCAGUGGGAAGAUCUCAGCUUACUGUAACCUCCACCUCCCGGGUUCAAGCGACUCUCGUGCCUCAGCCUCCUGAGUAGCUGGGAUUACAGGCACCUGCCACCAUGCCCAGCUAAUUUUUAUAUUUUUAAGAGAUGGGGGUUCACCAUGUUGGCCAGGCUGGUCUCAAACUCCUGACCUCAGGCGAUCCGCCCACCUUGGCCUCCCAAAGUGCUGGUUUUGCAGAUGGGAGCCACCAUGCCCAGCCUAGUCUCACUUUAUAGGCUCCCAAACCACAGCAGAACACCUGGCUGCCUCAUCCCUCUGCACCCAUCACGCCAGUGGGCAUGCUGGCUGUAGGUGGGGAUGGCCUUUGCCCGGGUUCCUGGGAGCACCUGGUGUUUUAUGGUCACCUACCCACUUACACCUGACCCUGGGGCCUCUGCAGUUUUCUUGGCGUUGUCACCACAAAAGGAAGAAGCCCACCUGUGGCUGGCUGGCUGGCCGCCAGGUCAGAGCCAAGGCAGGCAGGGCCUUCCUGUCUGGCUUCUUGAAGGCAGACACAAGUCUGCAGGCUGCUCACGUCAUCUCAUUAUCUUUUCUCACGAGGACUACUUCGGAUACAAUCACAGCAACCCUGGCCUCGGCCCUGCCCUGUCCCUGCCAUGCAACUUCACAACUCAGCUGGCCUAGACCCCUGGGAGGCCUCCAAGUCCCUAAGCGGUUCCAGUUUGUGGAAGUCCCAGGCAAUCACUGUGUCCACAUGAGCGAACCCCAGCACGUGGCCAGUAUCAUCAGCUCCUUCUUACAGUGCACACACACGCUCCCAGCCCAGCUGUAGCUCUGGGCCUGGAACUAUGAAGACCUAGUGCUCCCAGACUCAACACUGGGACUCUGAGUUCCUGAGCCCCACAACAAGGCCAGGGAUGGUGGGGACAGGCCUCACUAGUCUUGAGGCCCAGCCUAGGAUGGUAGUCAGGGGAAGGAGCGAGAUUCCAACUUCAACAUCUGUGACCUCAAGGGGGAGACAGAGUCUGGGUUCCAGGGCUGCUGUCUCCUGGCUAAUAAUCUCCAGCCAGCUGGAGGAAGGAAGGGCGGGCUGGGCCCACCUAGCCUUUCCCUGCUGCCCAACUGGAUGGAAAAUAAAA